AGUAGCAAUACUUUUGGUGGCGACCGGCGCACGGGUGAGUAACGCGUAUGCAACCUACCUAUCAGAGGGGAAUAACCCGGCGAAAGUCGGACUAAUACCGCAUAAAACAGGGACACCGCAUGGUGAUAUUUGUUAAAGAAAUUCGCUGAUAGAUGGGCAUGCGUUCUAUUAGGUAGUUGGUGAGGUAACGGCUCACCAAGCCGACGAUGGAUAGGGGAACUGAGAGGUUGGUCCCCCACACUGGUACUGAGACACGGACCAGACUCCUACGGGAGGCAGCAGUGAGGAAUAUUGGUCAAUGGGCGAGAGCCUGAACCAGCCAAGUCGCGUGAAGGAAGAAGGAUCUAUGGUUCGUAAACUUCUUUUGCAGGGGAAUAAAGUGCAGGACGUGUCCUGUUUUGUAUGUACCCUGAGAAUAAGGAUCGGCUAACUCCGUGCCAGCAGCCGCGGUAAUACGGAGGAUCCGAGCGUUAUCCGGAUUUAUUGGGUUUAAAGGGUGCGUAGGUGGUUUGAUAAGUCAGCGGUGAGAGUUUGCAGCUUAACUGUAAAAAUGCCGUUGAAACUGUCGGACUUGAGUGUAAAUGAGGUAGGCGGAAUGCGUGGUGUAGCGGUGAAAUGCUUAGAUAUCACGAAGAACUCCGAUUG
rnacentral:rRNA from 1 species